ensembl:lncRNA
UCUACAACAUUGCCAGGAAAACAAAAGGAGUUAUCUUCCACAGGGAACCAGUGGGAGGGUGGAUGGUGAAAAAAAAUAUAUUGUAGAACGCAAGAUAUGUGGCAAACACAGCUUUCCUUCCCCCCUUAAUCAAUCUUUCAUAUAUCAUUCCUUUGACUAUUUCUUGAAUAUUGUCUUGAAUAUUUUAGUGAAUAUUUCGGUGAAUAUUUUUUUAAAUAUUUUUUUAAUAUUUUUUAAUAUUUUUUUUUAAUAUUUAUUUUUCACCAUCCAUCCUCCCAGUGGUUCCCUAUGAAGAUAACUCCUUUUUGUUUUCCUGGCAAUGUUGUAGAACGCAAAAUAUGUGGCAAACACAGGUUUCCUUCCCCCCUUGCUAAAUGUAAUACUCUUUGUAAUCAAUCAUUCCUUCGAAUAUUUCCGUGAGUAUUUUUUGAUUAUUUUUUUGAAUAUUUUUAUUUUACCAUCCAUCCUCCCACUGGUUCCCUAUGAAGAUCACUCCUUUUGAUUUCCUGGCAAUAUUGUAGAACGCAAGAUAUGUAGCAAACACAGGUUUCCUUCCCCCCUCAUCACAUAUAACAAUCUUUCAUAUAUCAUUUCUUUGACUAUUUCUUGAAUAUUGUCAUGAAUAUUUUAGUGAAGAUUUCCGUGAAGAUUUUUCGAAUAUUUUUUUGAAUAUUUCUUGAAUAUUUGUUAAAUAUUUGUUGAAUAUUUUUUGAAUAUUUUUUGAAUAUUUUUUUGAAUACUUCUUUUUCACCAUCCAUCCUCCCACUACUCCCCUAUGAAGAUUACUCCUUUUGUUUCCCUGACAAUGUUGUAGAACGCAAGAUAUGUGGCAAACACAGGUUUCUUUCCCCCUUUAUCAAAUGUUAUACUCUUUGUAAUCAAUCAUUCCUUAGAAUAUUUCUUGAAUAUUUUCAUGAAUACUUCCGUGGAUAUUUCCGUGAAUAUUUUUUUCAUUAUUUAUUUGAAUAUUUUUUUAAAUGUUUUUUUUUUCACCAUCCAUCAUCCCACUGGUUCCCUAUGAAGAUCACUCCUUUUGUUUUCAUGGCAAUGUUGUAGAACACAAGAUAUGUGGCAAACACAGGUUUCCUUCCCUCCUUAUCAAAUGUAAUACUCUUUGUAAUCAAUCAUUCCUUUGAAUAUUUCUUGAAUAUUUUCGUGAAAAUUUUUGAGGGGUUAGAGAAGGUGUGCUGGGAAGCACAAGGUUGGUGGUUCGAGUCCAGGCUGCCCCAUGUUCCAUGUCGAAGUGUCCCCGAGCAAGACACUUAACCCCUAAUUGCUCCCCAGGCAAAAAUGUGAAAAAGCCAUGGGUUUAAAGUGUAAUUUAAGUCGCUUUGGAUAAAAGCGUCUGCUAAAUGACCUGUAAUGUAAUAUAAAGUCCCUCUGCAGCCAAAAUAAAAUCUUUUUUCAUCCUCUGAAUCCUGCUUUUGAGGUCAACCUUCGUUCUGGCUAUCACCCCAUGACAGAUCCAGCUUUUUAAAAAAGUAAUCCAAUCCAUAUUUUGAUGCCAACUGUACUUUUAGUCCACUUUUCAGUCCAUUUCGGGAGAAAGGUGGAGAAGGUAGAUUUAAUAAAGUAUAAAGUUGAGGGACUUUUCUUGAUUAUUUGCACUUUAACUUCUUCAACUUCUCAAGAGAAAAUAAACUCACUUCACUCCAUUUAAUUCAUUGAACAACCUUCACAUCCACAACACGUUCAUCUCUGUAGCAAGACUUUUAUGACGAAGCUCUGGAGGGGACAUUUGCAUCUGAGAGACAAACUUCUUCUUUUUAGUUUUAUUAAGUGCUCAUUGGUUUUGGGAUUCGCUCAAAAUGAAAAUUGUGAAUAUCUCCACAUCCUCCAUCAGCUCUUCAGUGGGACAGUGGACAACCAGCAGGAGGAGCACCUUCUACCAGCCAGUCACUCAUCAAGUCACCCAGCACUAAAUGAUACCCUGUUUGGUGGAAGGUUUUAAAACAUUCUAUAAAGUAUCAGGUGUCAUAGUACUUUAAAAGAAAUCCAUUUUAGCAACCAUCAGAGGACAUGACACAGAGAGCGUCCUCGUUCACAUGAUCAGGUUUGUUCUGAACAAGAACCUUUUGAAAGCUUCAGCAAACCUCUAAAAAAUAAUGACUCAAUCAAUCAAUGACAAAUAAUAUCAGGUAGGUCCAUCUGUUUUUAUUAACUGUAAUAUAAUAGUACAACAUAUAUUACUUUGGAAUAUACAGCAAUAUAUUUUCUAAUGUUAAGAAAUUACUUUUAUUAUAAACUGUGUCAUUAACGGGCGGCAUCGUGGCGGUUACCACUGUGGUUUACGGCGGUUGCUGCGCCGGUUCCCGCGGCGGCGCGUUGGUUGCCGCUGCGGCGCGGCGGUUAGCACAGCGGCGUGCUGGUGGUCAGCACUUGGCCCUGGAUCUUUAUCACAAGGACACGACAUAGAAUCGGGCUCAGAGGACGAUGCUGCAUCGCUUACGUCCACAUCGGGCUCGUGUGGCUGGUUGUCCACAAAGUAGUCCCUUUCAAGCAACGCCUUCAACAUCGCUAAACGGCUGCGUUCGUCUGGCAGGAUCUCGCACAGCCGCUUGUAGUCCCAACAUCGGUUGAGUUCAAAAUGCCGGCUGGAGGCCUUCAUUCUCUGCAGCUCACUCGUCCUUUCUUCUGCCGUGUUGGAUCUCAUACACGCCCGUCUAAGAUGCACAGCCAGGUUCUCAAACCCCUUAUGGCAGUGCACCACAGACCUUCAAGGUGCAAGUGAUAGAAAUGAACCACAUUGAAUGAAACGAGUUCUUCACUAAAACAUUCAGAAGAUUUACUAAAGGGAUGUCACGGUUUGGGUCAAUGUCUGGUUUUAUUUUGUAGGUUCUUGCCUCUGUUCUCCCUGGGUCAUGUCACUUCCUGCCUUGUCCUGUCCUCCCCUGUGAUUGUCUGUCAUGUCAUGAUUGUUUCCACCUGUGUCCAAUCACCUGCACCUCCCUAGUGUAUUCAAGCAGUGUGUGUCUCUUGUCACUUGUCGCGUCAUUGUCAAUCGUCCUGGAUGUUCGUAGUUCCCGCUUGCCGUUUUUCCUCCAGUUCCUGUGUGUGUGACUGGGUGGGGCUGAAUGGGACAAUCCAGAGAGUCGGGGUUGGGCCAUCAAGGAGGAAGGCUCAUCCCUUUUGUCUCUAUAUUUUAAAAAUAACCUUCUAUGUCUGGCUAACAUUAUCUGAUUAACUACAUUAUAAAGCUCCGCUUCAGGCCUUUUCAACGAUACCAAACAUUUCCUUCUUUUAACGUUUAUAGAGACAAUUUUAACUUUUAAACAGACCAAACUAAACUCCACUUGUUGAUGGCUUAGAGAUGCCAAUCUUAGUGUUUCUGAGGGCUGCACAUGAGCUGUAACAGGCAGUGUGAGUUUACUCAAUCCGAUCAGCACAGACAGAAAAACAACAUUAUUUGAAAUAUAAAAAAUACUCACCAAAACAUUUGCCUCACUCCGCCACCAACAAAAGAGUUUGUAGCCGCCGAAUAUCAACAAUGAGAUGGAGAUGGGACCCCCUUAGAGAGGGGGGUCACCCCCCACUUCUGGAAUGUUCUUAUUAAUUAGCAAUUCGCAGAGUAGAAUCAACGGCUACUUGAUUCCUGAGUCAGCACCUACUGCACCUCCCACAUCUCAACGUUGUUCUUUUUGAGAGCCAGAUUAUAUACAGCAUGAAGAUUGAUUAUUAAUUCAUGUUGCAUUCCUGCAUAAACGCAAAGUGCUUAAAAUCCAAAAAGCUAAAACUCACUCAUCUAAAAGAUUCGGGUAGAAUGUGAGAACUGGACUCAUCUUGCUGGACCUCAGUGCUGCGUUUGACACCAUUUUGUGGAACCAGCUUUCACUUUCAGUCUGGGGGGCAGAUUCCGUCAGCUAUUUUAAGAUAAAGCUUAAAAAAGCUAAAAGCUUUCUGAGGUUAGCCCGGACCAGCGCUUAGUUAAGCUGCUACAGGCUUAGACUGCCGGGGGACUUGAGGACACAGCGAGCUCCUCUCUCACUCUGUAAUACCUCACUUCUCAUUAAUGCACAUCACUAACUUUGUUUAUUCCACAGAGUAUUUGUGCUUUCUUGCCUCACAGGUUUCUAGGGGUGGGAAUCUCCUGGCACCUCACGAUUCGAUUCGCUUGCUCUUAGUCAAUGAUAAGAAGAAGACUUCAAACACAAAAUGCCCCUUUUUAUUAUAGGUAAUAAGCAGCAUAUCCCUGAGACAGAAAAUAAGUUACGCUACACAAUAAUACGCUACUUUAUGGCGUUUGCAUUUCAACACAUUGUACAGCGUUGGU